rnacentral:rRNA from 1 species
CCUAACGGGGUGGAAGUGGGGGGGGGAGUACGGAGGGUGCAAGCGUUGUGCGGAAGGAGUGGGCGUAAAGGGCGGGUAGUGGGCCAAUUAAGUGUGAUGUGAAAGCCCGGGGCUUAACCCCGGAAGUGCAUUGGAUACUGGUUGGCUAGAGGACGAGAGAGGAAGGCGGAAUUCCUGGUGUAGGGGUGAAAUCCGUAGAUAUCAGGAGGAACACCGGAGGCGAAGGCGGCUUUCUGGCUCGUAACUGACGCUGAGACGCGAAAGCGUGGGGAGCAAACAGGAUUAGAUACCCGUGUAGUC